GGUUAAGCGACUAAGCGUACACGGUGGAUGCCCUGGCAGUCAGAGGCGAUGAAGGACGUGCUAAUCUGCGAAAAGCGCCGGCGAGGUGAUAUGAACCUUUGACCCGGCGAUGUCCGAAUGGGGAAACCCAGUGUGUUCCGACACACUAUCGUUAACUGAAUACAUAGGUUAACGAGGCGAACCGGGGGAACUGAAACAUCUAAGUACCCCGAGGAAAAGAAAUCAACCGAGAUUCCCCCAGUAGCGGCGAGCGAACGGGGAGCAGCCCGGAGUCUGAAUCAGCUUGUGUGUUAGUGGAACGGUCUGGAAAGUCCGACGGUACAGGGUGAUAGUCCCGUACACGAAAAUGCACAUGCUGUGAACUCGAAGAGUAGGGCGGGACACGUGGUAUCCUGUCUGAAUAUGGGGGGACCAUCCUCCAAGGCUAAAUACUCCUGACUGACCGAUAGUGAACCAGUACCGUGAGGGAAAGGCGAAAAGAACCCCGGCGAGGGGAGUGAAAAAGAACCUGAAACCGUGUACGUACAAGCAGUGGGAGCACCUUCGGGUGUGACUGCGUACCUUUUGUAUAAUGGGUCAGCGACUUAUAUUCUGUAGCAAGGUUAACCGUAUAGGGGAGCCGAAGGGAAACCGAGUCUUAACUGGGCGUUAAGUUGCAGGGUAUAGACCCGAAACCCGGUGAUCUAGCCAUGGGCAGGUUGAAGGUUGGGUAACACUAACUGGAGGACCGAACCGACUAAUGUUGAAAAAUUAGCGGAUGACCUGUGGCUGGGGGUGAAAGGCCAAUCAAACCGGGAGAUAGCUGGUUCUCCCCGAAAGCUAUUUAGGUAGCGCCUCGUGAACUCAUCUUCGGGGGUAGAGCACUGUUUCGGCUAGGGGGCCAUCCCGGCUUACCAACCCGAUGCAAACUACGAAUACCGAAGAAUGUUAUCACGGGAGACACACGGCGGGUGCUAACGUCCGUCGUGAAGAGGGAAACAACCCAGACCGCCAGCUAAGGUCCCAAAGUCAUGGUUAAGUGGGAAACGAUGUGGGAAGGCACAGACAGCCAGGAUGUUGGCUUAGAAGCAGCCAUCAUUUAAAGAAAGCGUAAUAGCUCACUGGUCGAGUCGGCCUGCGCGGAAGAUGUAACGGGGCUAAACCAUGCACCGAAGCUGCGGCAGCGACGCUUAUGCGUUGUUGGGUAGGGGAGCGUUCUGUAAGCCGUUGAAGGUGUGCUGUGAGGCAUGCUGGAGGUAUCAGAAGUGCGAAUGCUGACAUAAGUAACGAUAAAGCGGGUGAAAAGCCCGCUCGCCGGAAGACCAAGGGUUCCUGUCCAACGUUAAUCGGGGCAGGGUGAGUCGACCCCUAAGGCGAGGCCGAAAGGCGUAGUCGAUGGGAAACAGGUUAAUAUUCCUGUACUUGGUGUUACUGCGAAGGGGGGACGGAGAAGGCUAUGUCAGCCGGGCGACGGUUGUCCCGGUUUAAGCAUGUAGGCGGAGGUUCCAGGUAAAUCCGGUACCUUGUUAACGCUGAGGUGUGAUGACGAGGCACUACGGUGCUGAAGUGAUAAAUGCCCUGCUUCCAGGAAAAGCCUCUAAGCAUCAGGUAACACGAAAUCGUACCCCAAACCGACACAGGUGGUCAGGUAGAGAAUACCAAGGCGCUUGAGAGAACUCGGGUGAAGGAACUAGGCAAAAUGGUGCCGUAACUUCGGGAGAAGGCACGCUGAUAUGUAGGUGAAGCCCCUGCGGGCGGAGCUGAAAUCAGUCGAAGAUACCAGCUGGCUGCAACUGUUUAUUAAAAACACAGCACUGUGCAAACACGAAAGUGGACGUAUACGGUGUGACGCCUGCCCGGUGCCGGAAGGUUAAUUGAUGGGGUUAGCGGCAACGCGAAGCUCUUGAUCGAAGCCCCGGUAAACGGCGGCCGUAACUAUAACGGUCCUAAGGUAGCGAAAUUCCUUGUCGGGUAAGUUCCGACCUGCACGAAUGGCGUAAUGAUGGCCAGGCUGUCUCCACCCGAGACUCAGUGAAAUUGAACUCGCUGUGAAGAUGCAGUGUACCCGCGGCAAGACGGAAAGACCCCGUGAACCUUUACUAUAGCUUGACACUGAACACUGGUCCUUGAUGUGUAGGAUAGGUGGGAGGCUUUGAAGCGUGGACGCCAGUCUGCGUGGAGCCGCCCUUGAAAUACCACCCUUUAAUGGCUGGUGUUCUAACGUAGACCCGUGAUCCGGGUUGCGGACAGUGUCUGGUGGGUAGUUUGACUGGGGCGGUCUCCUCCCAAAGAGUAACGGAGGAGCACGAAGGUUGGCUAAUCCUGGUCGGACAUCAGGAGGUUAGUGCAAUGGCAUAAGCCAGCUUGACUGCGAGCGUGACGGCGCGAGCAGGUGCGAAAGCAGGUCAUAGUGAUCCGGUGGUUCUGAAUGGAAGGGCCAUCGCUCAACGGAUAAAAGGUACUCCGGGGAUAACAGGCUGAUACCGCCCAAGAGUUCAUAUCGACGGCGGUGUUUGGCACCUCGAUGUCGGCUCAUCACAUCCUGGGGCUGAAGUAGGUCCCAAGGGUAUGGCUGUUCGCCAUUUAAAGUGGUACGCGAGCUGGGUUUAGAACGUCGUGAGACAGUUCGGUCCCUAUCUGCCGUGGGCGCUGGAGAAUUGAGGGGGGCUGCUCCUAGUACGAGAGGACCGGAGUGGACGCAUCACUGGUGUUCGGGUUGUCAUGCCAAUGGCACUGCCCGGUAGCUAAAUGCGGAAGAGAUAAGUGCUGAAAGCAUCUAAGCACGAAACUUGCCCCGAGAUGAGUUCUCCCUGAGACCUUGAGUCUCCUGAAGGAACGUUGAAGACGACGACGUUGAUAGGUCGGGUGUGUAAGCGCAGCGAUGCGUUGAGCUAACCGAUACUAAUGAACCGUGAGGCUUAACCUU
rnacentral:rRNA from 1 species